CUGAAGAAAGAUUUCUACAAACCUUGUGACAUGGCCAUAAAGUCUCAGUUUCCGUUUUUUUUUUGUUACAGUGUUUAGAAGGUCAUCGUGGGGUCCGUUUGUGAUCCUUUUUCUACACUCCUCGUUUGUGAUAGGUCUUUGUAGGUGAUCAAUUCUAUUGUUAGAAUCCUUCUUUAUAGUUCUGCAGUUAGCGUACAAGUUUCGCAAGCAUACAAUAAUGUGGCCAUGACCAAGG